rnacentral:rRNA from 1 species
UACGAAGGGUGCUAGCGUUGCUCGGAAUCACUGGGCGUACAGGGUGCGUAGGCGGGUUUUUAAGUCAGGGGGGAAAUCCUGGAGCUCAACUCCAGAACUGCCUUUGAUACUGAGGAUCUUGAGUUCGGGAGAGGUGAGUGGAACUGCGAGUGUAGAGGUGAAAUUCGUAGAUAUUCGCAAGAACACCAGUGGCGAAGGCGGCUCACUGGCCCGAUACUGACGCUGAGGCACGAAAGCGUGGGGAGCAAACAGG